UAACCCUCAUCCAUGUGGUGUCACAACUGCAUGAAUGGACUUGGACGUUGCCGUCACCGGCUCGCCCUAAAUGAAUUAGCUAUGCGUCUAUUAGCGCGCUCGGCGUGGUGUGAUAAUUAUCUUCGCCCGCCUCAGGCCGCUUCCGAUGGCGCUGCUUCUAAUGGUCCCUUGUGGACGACACUUCAAAG
rnacentral:misc_RNA from 1 species